rnacentral:rRNA from 1 species
GUGGGGAAUCUUGCGCAAUGGGCGAAAGCCUGACGCAGCCAUGCCGCGUGAAUGAUGAAGGUCUUAGGAUUGUAAAAUUCUUUCACCGGGGACGAUAAUGACGGUACCCGGAGAAGAAGCCCCGGCUAACUUCGUGCCAGCAGCCGCGGUAAUACGAAGGGGGCUAGCGUUGCUCGGAAUUACUGGGCGUAAAGGGCGCGUAGGCGGACAGUUUAGUCAGAGGUGAAAGCCCAGGGCUCAACCUUGGAAUUGCCUUUGAUACUGGCUGUCUUGAGUACGGGAGAGGUGAGUGGAACUCCGAGUGUAGAGGUGAAAUUGGUAGAUAUUCGGAAGAACACCAGUGGCGAAGGCGACUCACUGGCCCGUUACUGACGCUGAGGCGCGAAAGCGUGGGGAGCAAACAGGAUUAGAUACCCUUGUAGUCC